ACGUCACCUCCGCUCAAUCCGGCCUCGGCCGGAGCCGGGGACCCACUCAGUAAUCCGGGGUGAAUCGGGACGGACGCCGGGAGGCGUCGGGACCGUAGGGCGACCUUUCCGCCCGAACCCGUCAGCUAACCCGGUCGGCGGCCCACGGAAGGAGUC
rnacentral:sRNA from 2 species